UUUCACGUUAUAAAAGGCUUAUGAAGUUUCGCGAGAUUUCGAAGACGGACGUGAAGUAGAAGCCAUUGCUUCGGGGAGCUAGUGGAAGUCACAUGUGCGAAAGGAUAGUUGGGGUUUCCCCUGUGUUUGGACCCUCCUGUUCCCCGAAGCGUUCUGAAGCAUUCCGGGGCCUUGCGUGAACUUCUAGUUCUUCCGCCUUAGCCGCGGAGACUUCCGCUUCCUGGAUUCCACCCUCAGUCUGGCUCAUGCCAGCCAUCUUCC
rnacentral:lncRNA from 1 species